UACGGGGGGGGCAAGCGUUGUUCGGAAUUACUGGGCGUAAAGGGCUCGUAGGCGGCCAACUAAGUCAGACGUGAAAUCCCUCGGCUUAACCGGGGAACUGCGUCUGAUACUGGAUGGCUUGAGUUCGGGAGAGGGAUGCGGAAUUCCAGGUGUAGCGGUGAAAUGCGUAGAUAUCUGGAGGAACACCGGUGGCGAAGGCGGCAUCCUGGACCGACACUGACGCUGAUGAGCGAAAGCCAGGGGAGCAAACGGG
rnacentral:rRNA from 1 species